GAUACCCUGGAGGCCAAACCACCCCUCAGAGGAGCAGCUGAAGCAGGAUGUAAACCACAGCUGGAUGGGGAAAAGUUUUCAAUCCAAGACAGGAGUCAAAUCCCUCUGAACCAUGAUUUGUUGUGGACGUUUCAAUGGAAAUCUGAGCUUUAACUGGAAUAGGCUUCCGUAGAGGCAGCCAGACAAUACUCAUCUAUGACUGGGCGGCAUGAGUGACAGACCAAGCAGUUUGGUUGAGGAAGGAGAACACAAAAUAGGCUGGAAAGAAUGCAUUGCAUGGAGAAAUAAACAAACCUCAGGCUGCACUGAAGUAAUGUGUUAUCCUCAUGCAUUUUUAUCACCCCGUUCAUUAUUAAAAAUCCCAGUUCAACCAACUCA